rnacentral:rRNA from 1 species
GACGAACGCUGGCGGCGUGCUUAACACAUGCAAGUCGAACGGAAAGGCCCUGCUAUUGUGCUGUUCUCGAGUGGCGAACGGGUGAGUAACACGUGUGUAACCUGCCCUUGACUUUGGGAUAACUUCACGUAACUGGGGCUAAUACCGGACAGGAUCCCCUCCUGCAUUGUGGGGGUUGGAAAUUUUAGGCGGGUGGGGAUGGACUCGCGGCUUAUCGGCUUGUUGGUGGGGUAGUGGCUUACCAAGGCUUUGACGGGUAGCCGGCCUGAGAGGGUGAACGGGCACAUGGGGACUGAGAGACGGCGCAGACUCCUACGGGAGGCAGCAGGGGGGAGUAUUGCACAAUGGGCGGAAGCCGGAUGCAGAGACGCCGCGGGCGGGAUGACGGCCUUCGGGGUGUAAACCGCUUUCGCCUGUGACGAAGCGUGAGUGACGGUACUGGGUAAAGAAGCACCGGCUAACUACGUG